UGCUUAAGCGUUCACGUUAGGAUCACACAAUCAAUUACCUCCUGAAUGUAUGGUCUCUAUUUCCAAUAUCUGAACACACAAGGAAACUAUAAUCUCCUCCUUCACCUUAUCGGUCUCUUCCUUACAGCAAUUUAGUCAUACCAAUAACUGCUAUUUCCACCAAUGUAUUCACCCUCAUAAUCUCCAACUGUAAUACUACGCCUUCACAGCUUUCAGCACACAAUUACCCUCAUUUCAAUCACUGGAAUUCUUCACAGAGAACUGCCAUUCACAUUACGGUGUUUCAUACAAACACAGACUCAUUCUCUCUACUAAACUACAAUCAGAUUUCAACAUUCAAUCUUUCUUCUUCUCAAAUAAUACCAAUCACAUUUCCAUUCCAUAAUUCACUUCAUAAUAUUCAGAAACUCUCAAUCUUCUUAUUCAAAGAAAAUAACAAACAAAAGAAAAGAGGUAGCACCAAGCUUAUCCC
rnacentral:lncRNA from 1 species